rnacentral:rRNA from 1 species
GAGUUUGAUCAUGGCUCAGGACGAACGCUGGCGGCACGCCUAACACAUGCAAGUCGAACGGAGAUAUUUUGGUUUACUGAGAUAUCUUAGUGGCGGACGGGUGAGUAACACGUGAGCAACCUGCCUCUGAGAGAGGGAUAGCUUCUGGAAACGGAUGGUAAUACCUCAUAACAUAACGAAGCCGCAUGACUUUGUUAUCAAAGAUUUAUCACUCAGAGAUGGGCUCGCGUCUGAUUARAUAGUUGGUGARGUAA